rnacentral:snRNA from 1 species
UUUGCUUCUCAGCGUUUUGGCUAAGAUCAAGUGUAGUAUCCAUUCUAAGAGUAGUAAGCAUAUCAUUUUUAUUGAAAUAAAUUUCAAGUAUGGAGUGAUUACUAGAUUUCUAACAGAAAACCUAU